rnacentral:rRNA from 1 species
CCCUUAGAUGUUCUGGGCCGCACGCGCGCUACACUGACGCUGGCAACGAGUUUUUCCUUCGCCGAAAGGUGUGGGUAAUCUUUUGAAACAUCGUCGUGCUGGGGAUAGAUCAUUGCAAUUUUUGAUCUUGAACGAGGAAUUCCUAGUAAGCGCGAGUCAUCAGCUCGCGUUGAUUCGUCCCUGCCCUUUGUACACACCGCCCGUCGCUACUACCGAUUGAAUGGUUUAGUGAGGACUCCUGAUUGGCGCCGCCGCCCCGGCAACGGAGCAGCGGACUGCCGAAAAGUUGUUCAAACUUGAUCAUUUAGAGGAAGUAAAAGUCGUAACA